rnacentral:rRNA from 1 species
AUUGAACGCUGGCGGCAGGCUUAACACAUGCAAGUCGAACGAGUGGCGGACGGGUGAGUAAUGCUUGGGAAUCUAGCUUAUGGAGGGGGAUAACUACGGGAAACUGUAGCUAAUACCGCGUACCAUAGGAUGAGCCCAAGUGGGAUUAGGUAGUUGGUGAGGUAAAGGCUCACAAAGCCGACGAUCUCUAGCUGGUCGGAUAGGCUGACGAGCAACAGUGGGACGGAGCAAGGGCCCGGACUCCUACGGGAGGCAGCAGUGGGGAAUAUUGCGAAAGGGGGGAAAGCUGCGGAAGCACGGCCGCGUGAUGGAAGCAGGCUUUCGGGUUUUAAAGUUCUUUAGGUAGCGAGACGGUACCUACAGAAGAAGCACCGGCUAACUCCGUGCCAGCAGCCGCGGUAAUAC